rnacentral:rRNA from 1 species
CGUGUUGCCUGCAAGGGCGUAUGGUGGAUGCCUUGGCAGACAGGACCGAUGAAGGACGUUUGAGGCUGCGAUAUGCCUCGGGGAGCCGCCAACAGGGCUUUGAUCCGAGGAUUUCCGAAUGGGGGAACCCACCGGCCGUCAUGGGCCGGUACCGCCGUGUGCGGGGGGUACGCAGGGAAGUGAAACAUCUCAGUACCUGCAGGAAAGGAUAUUCCGUGAGUAGUGGCGAGCGAAAGCGGAUCAGGCCAAACCUUGCGCGUGUGAUACCCGUCGGGGGUUGCGCGCGGGGUGUAGAGGGAUCGCGUUUGCCGGCUCCGACGGGCCGGCCGUCAGUUGCAUAAAACCAUGUGCCAGGGGAACCGGGUUGAAUACCGGGCCGCAGAGGGUGAGGGCCCCGUACCCGAACGCGCAUGGUCUGGCGAUCGCGUCUCCCAAGUAGCACGGGCCCCGUGGAAUCCCGUGCGAAUCUGUCCCGACCGUGGGAUAAGCCUAAAUAUUCCUGUCUGACCGAUAGCGAACGAGUACCGUGAGGGAAAGGUGAAAAGUACCCCGGGAGGGGAGUGAAACAGUCUCUGAAACCAUGCGCCUACGAACCGUCGGGGCCCCCUUGUGGGGUGACGGCGUGCCUAUCGAAAAAUGAGUCUGCGAGUCAGUGGCAUGUGGCGAGCAUAACCCGUGUGGGGUAUGCGUAGCGAAGGCGAGUCUUAAAAGGCGUUUGAGUCGCGUGUCCUGGACCCGAAGCGGGAUGAUCUAGCCCUGAGCAGGUUGAAGCGCGGGUAAGACCGUGUGGAGGACCGAACCCACCUGGGUUGAAAACCGGGGGGAUGACUUGGGGCUAGGGGUGAAAGGCCAAUCAAAUUCCGUGAUAGCUGGUUCUCUCCGAAAUGCAUUUAGGUGCAGCGUCGGAUCGAUUACAUCCGGGGGGUAGAGCGACUGGAUGCUUGCGGGCCCAUAUCGGGUACCAACAGCAACCAAACUCCGAAUACCCGUGAUGCGUAUCCCGGCAGUGAGUCGGCGGGGGAUAAGCUCCGUCGUCGAAAGGGAAACAGCCCAGA